rnacentral:rRNA from 1 species
AACGAACGCUGGCGGCGCGCCUAAUACAUGCAAGUCGAGCGAGAAGACGUAGCAAUACGUUUGUAAAGCGGCGAACGGGUGAGGAAUACAUGGGUAACCUACCCUCGAGUGGGGAAUAACUAGCCGAAAGGUUAGCUAAUACCGCGUACGCUCCUUGGACUUCGGUUCAGGGAGGAAAGCGAUACCGUGGGUAUCGCGCUCUUGGAUGGGCUCAUGUCCUAUCAGCUUGUUGGUGAGGUAACGGCUCACCAAGGCUUCGACGGGUAGCUGGUCUGAGAGGACAAUCAGCCACACUGGCACUGCGACACGGGCCAGACUCCUACGGGAGGCAGCAGUAAGGAAUAUUGCGCAAUGGGCGAAAGCCUGACGCAGCGACGCCGCGUGGGGGAUGAAGGUCUUCGGAUUGUAAACCCCUUUCGGGAGGGAAGAUGGAACGAGCAAUCGUUCGGACGGUACCUCCAGAAGCAGCCACGGCUAACUUCGUGCCAGCAGCCGCCGUAAG